rnacentral:rRNA from 1 species
UACGAAGGGGGCAAGCGUUGUUCGGAAUUACUGGGCGUAAAGGGUUCGUAGGUGGCCAACUAAGUCAGACGUGAAAUCCCUCGGCUCAACCGGGGAACUGCGUCUGAUACUGGUUGGCUUGAGUGCAGGAGAGGAACGCGGAAUUCCAGGUGUAGCGGUGAAAUGCGUAGAUAUCUGGAGGAACACCGGUGGCGAAGGCGGCGUUCUGGACUGCAACUGACACUGAGGAACGAAAGCCAGGGGAGCAAACGGG